GGGUGAUUAGCUCAGAUGGUUAGAGCGCAGUCCUGAUAAGACUGAGGUCCUUGGUCCGAUUCCAAGAUCACCCA
rnacentral:tRNA from 1 species